CCCACACGCGCACAAACAGCACAAGCACGGGCCUUCUACACAGAGAGAGAGAGAGGGGGAGAGCUUGGGGUUGGGGUGUUUUGGCUGUGUGUGUGUGUGAAUUCUCUGCGGGUUGCAGUUGCAGACAUGGAUGGCAAAGUGGAUGGGGUUUCUGUAGAGCUCUCAGCUCCUCCUGCUUGGAAGACGAAGGCAGUAAUUUAUGGAUGCCGAAAUAAGGGCAGUAGCUUUUAAGGGAUGGGCUCUUGACUUGGCGUGUGCUGAUUAUUGUUGUAAAUUUUUGGUCUCUUGUUAGUGUAAAGUGUUUACUGAAUUUGGUGAUUGUCCAAAAAGUGUCGGUGCAAAAUAUUGGAAAGCUUCUUUAGGUGAAGUAUUCUGGAGAAAUACUUUACGCGAACACAUAUAUGCCAAGGAAUAUAUAUAAAUAUGUCCAGUAUUUUUAUUUA